GACUAUGGAGCUAUUUCCUCAUCUCUUAAGAAAGUUCACAUUUGCAGCUUGAUUUACCUAGGCUGUUUGGAAGAGAGUCCAUUUUAACUUUCUCCAGCUGAGAUGGAGUCAAUGCUUAGCAAAGCCCCACAUACAUUAAAAGCUUGAAGUGCUAUCAAAGCGUAGGAAAAACGCCCUCCUAGCAUGCUACUUUAACACCCAUCAGUUCUCUGUUCCACAGAAAUAAAUAGGAGGCUUUACUUUCAGUGCAACCUAUGUAUGUGAAUUCUGCUUUCCAGAGAGUGAGUUCUCAGAACUGCUGCCUGAAAUUGUAAAUGCCUACACAUGUUGUCACAUCAAGGGCUUGUCAUCAUCUCAACUCAAAGCAGGUGUUUGCAACACAUGAAGCAAUCACCUGGGAUACACUAGAGAGCUCUACAUGUAUUUGAGCCUGGAUACUGCUCACUCAUUAUCCUUGCUGAUGCAGAAGGUCUGUUUUGUAACAUCUUUCUAUGAAAAGCUAGAACAUCAGUGCUUGCUCCUGGAAAAGUUGCCGUGCCUUGCAUCUCUCCUCCCAGCAUUAUUUACUGCAGUGAGAACUUGCUGCUUGUGUAGAUGGAACAAAUGAUCGUGGGAUGGGGUCUGCCCCACAAGGAUGCCAGUCAGGGUCAGAUCUUUAUACUUCUGUGCAAGCCAACACAAGUAUUCCUACUGGGACCAUUUUGCCUGUAAGAGCCAAAGAUUUUAAGGCUAGAUAUGAAUCAUGUUUUCCCAUAUGCAUAGAACAAGCCAUGGAGCAGCACAGUGCAAUUUCUGCAUCAAGCCCAGCACGACUAUUUGAACCCCAGCACCUUUUCAGAAAGCCAGCCGCAACUUCAAGCUGCAAGUGACAGCAAGUCUACAGCAUCCAUGUAUAAACUUACCCUGGCAUUGGAUUCUGAUCUGAAUUUCUUUAUCCUCUGCUCCAGAAUGUAAGCUGUCCUCAUGCUUCUCUUUUUUCCACAGACUGUUAAACUAAAAAGAUGUUGGAUAAUGGAAAAUUUCUAACUUUUUUUUCCAUCAGUUUAAGCAUUGUCACCCCACCUCAAGUCCCUCCUCCCCCAAUAAUCCAGUUAUUAUAUGUAUAUCUAAUCCAUUAAUUCAUUUCAUUUAUAAGAAAAGAUAAAAACACGAAAAGAUUAAAAUGAAUUGAUGUUCUCUGCCACACCCAGCCCAACACAUGCUCAGUCCAAGUUCUGAUACUAAAUCUUACUUCUCCAUUCAUAGAGUCACAUCAUAGAAUCAAAGAAACAGAGAACUGUUAAGGUUGGAAAAGAACUCUGAGACCAUCAAGUCCAUCCAUCAAUUCAUCACCACCAUGCCCACUAAACCAUGUCCCCAGAUAGAAUCAUAGAAUCAUAGAAUAAUAAUCAUUCUGGAUUACAACAGUUUUCACCUUAUUUUGCAGCUCUUACUGCCAGCUUGCUAUCAGAGAAUAUUGCCUCAUAACUGCAUUUGAGGUGACUUCCAGUUGUGCUACAUGAUCCGAUCCUUACUAUGUAAGCCACCAAUGCAGUCAUGUCUUGUGGGAUUACUGCAAGAUUCAUCCAUGCUUGUAAUGCUAAGAUAAGACAAAGGCCAUCAAAGCAGAAUAUGUUAUUAAUUAGUAAUUAGAUAACUACAAUGAAUUAAAAUGGGUUGGAAGAAGUCUUUCAUUCUGCAUUGAACCCUUCUUUCGAAAUAAAGGGUGGUUUCCUUACAGGGAAAACCAUAAGAAAAAAAUCAAUCAAAAUAAACAUAUGCUAAUUAUACUCCUGGGCCUGCUUACAUGUCAAAACUAUUUUGAAAAUAUUGCUUCAUUGUUGAGGGUUAGUGUAGUUUAACAGCCAGUGGCGGAACAUGUCCUAAGUAGGGAUUUUCCAUUGCAUACAGCAAUUACAGACAAUUGACAUUUGAUUAUAAUAACCAGCAAACUUUCAUGAAAUAAAUGACACCUGAGCAAGUUUCAUAACCUUUUGCCUCGCCCCACCUUGGAAUGCGUCAGCGCUGCUUGAAGGCUAGGAAUGUUUCUUUCGCUUGCAAACAGAAUUAUUUCAAACCAAGGGAGUGCAGAGCUGUCUGGAGACGGGCUCUGAUAGCCAGCCUGUGUGCUGUGUCCAGUGGCUUUUAGACCUAUUUACUUAUGUGCUGUUCAGAAUACAUGGCAAGGAGCAAAAUGACACAGGGCCUGGACUGUCUUCCACGUCUGUGUAGGGAUUGUAUCCUUGCAUCCAAAAAUGGAUCUAUUUCCUGGGUCUAUUCAACAAUGUCUUGUACUUACACCAGUUCUCUACUUACGUCAGUGAAGGAAGAGGCAAGGUGGUGCUUCCAAGUCAGGCUCAUUUUGCACAGGGAUGCAGGUAUAAUUCCACUGUUUUUAGUGCCUGCAUUUUGAGCGGCAGCAGACACUGCACAACCAUUCAGCUCUCUAACUGUUGGAAAUUUGCUUGCUUAAUGACCAAGUCUAGCUAAAUUACCAAAACUGCACAAAAAGUGGGCCAAGACAGUUAGAUCUGCUGGUGUCUCUGGCUAUGAAUAGUAAUGGGUGAAGACAUGGCACAAAAAAGACACAGCGUUGCUUCCAGCAAGGUUGGUAUAACUGUAUUUCCAUAGAUAGAAAGUUUCCAUUGCUAUCUCAGUCACACACAGUUCCCUCAUGGAAGCAAAGUUGACUUUAUUUGAAGUACAGCAACAAAGAAAGAGACUGAGAAAACAGAUUUGUACUAUCUCGAUGCUAGCUGGAGAAUGAAGCACUGCUACCACACUAUAUGCUGAGAUUUGUUGCCUAGAUUAUUGCUUUUCAGCACCUCCAAAUCUGUUCUUCCCUGCCAUAUAGCCACUGGUCUUCACUAUCAUCUAUUCUCCCUCUGGAUCUAAGGAGGUCACCAUCCCUGGAGGUGUUCAAGAAUUGUUUGGAUAUGGCACUGAAGGACAUGAUUUACCAGACAUGAUGGUGGUGGGUUGAUGGUUGGACUAGAUGAUCUUAUUGGUCUUUUCCAACCUUAAUGAUUCGAUGAUUCAUACCAAAGAGUGUAUCUGGAGCCGAGAAAUGUUAGUCUAUCUUGCUUCUCUUCCUUUCUGCUAGGAAGGAACAAACCCUUGCAGUUGCAGCAGUCAAUGUAACUGAUGUGAAUCAGGAUAACAGAGGCAGCAUGGAUAGUGUCUGGAAGAUAUUUCAGAUACUUAACGGCUGCACAGUGCUGAGAACACUUUUACAAUGUAAUAGGACAAUAUUUAUUAGGUGCCUGGCAAUCCCAUUGUUUUGUGCCCACUCUCAGUUUUUGCUAUUUUUUAAGAGACUGUGAAGUUUUUUCAUCUUACAUGUAAUGAAGAGCUUAACUGUUCUGACACCUGAACUUUUGAGAACUCUUAAGAACUCUUAAUUGCUCAGCUUAGAAAAAGUCUAGGCCCAGCACAGAACAGAUGUAUAGUAAUAAACUUAUCUCAUAAUGUCAAAUGAUU
ensembl:lncRNA